rnacentral:lncRNA from 1 species
UUGAGGCACUGAACAAUCCCGGGAACAGCGAGAUCAGGGUUAUGGAGUUAGGACAAGGAGGUGACUACAGCUUGGCGAUUCAUCACACGGAGGAAGAGUUAGAGAGAUGGGGUUUGUCACCUGAGAUGAUUGCAGAUCAGAAAUGGCGGGUUAACGCGCAUAAAGGCGAAUGGAAAGAAGAUUGUAAGUGGUACUUUGGUGAUUUUUUCGAUCAUAUGGCUGAUUCAGAUCAAGAAUCCGAGACUGAUGCUACUGAAGAAGACAAGUUAAAUCUACUAACGAACUCGGAAGAUAACAAUGAGGAGUUAUGCAGCUGAUAGUUAGUGGGUAAGUGUUGUACAAACUUGUGUGUGGUCUAUAAGAUAACGUUACAAGAUAACUUUUAUUGAAUCAGAGCAUUUAUUAUUGUGAAAGGAAAUUUAUUAGAGAAUGCUCUGUUUUAUCACACAUGAAAAAACAACAAAAAGACCCACUAGAGGUUCUGAUUUCAAGACGACACCGUCUGGGAAUAUGUACCGGACAGAAUUUUCUGUGAAACAAACCGGUUUGCAGCUUCGGUAUAGUGAAUUCCAUCCCAGUUAACAUAUUUGGAACUAUCAUUACAUGAGUUGGAUGUUACUGUCGUACCGUUUGAUGUCCCUGUUGAACCGCAGUUAAUCUGAUCAUUGUAGUUCAGUGGCGGUCCUCCGGUUCCACAACAUACCACUAUGGACUGAUCAAAACCUGUUAACAUACCCAAAAAUAGUUUUCAGUCACAAACUACCAGUAAGGUUAGGUAUAUACAUAGUCGAUUUUUAGCUUAUCGAAGUGAAACAUUGGUCUACCCCUAAAUUUUUUAAAGUUAAUGUAUAUUAUCAAUUUAUUUUUAAAAAUUAUUAAAAAUUCUUAUUAAAUUGUUUGGUUCCCAAAAUUUCUUGACUAGUCCUAAGUAUAUACCAGCCUUAGGUUCAGUUUAGUAUGCUUACCAUUUUUGGAAUGAUUCUGGAUGAGGUCAGAUUUGAUCGAGAAGAUAUCGACGUACGUGAAAUUAGCAUCACGAUAUUGUUGAGUAAAAUUUCUGACAAGACCCUGAAGCUGUAGAUUGAAGAGCUUAGCAGCUUCGUUGUGGCCAAUGACACAACCAAACUCAUCAACUUUUGAUUUCUCUCUCCCGAAUAUUGACACCAUCUGAGCUAAACACCCAAUUGGUCCUGUGUUGUGUAUCCAAAAGUUUCUCGCACCCCCUUCCCAAUAUAGUCUCUAGAAAAGAAAACAUAAGUUACAGAAAAAUGAAUUAAUUUUUAUAAUAAUAAUAAUAAAGACUCAUCAUGUAAAUACUGACAUUUAUUCCAUCUUUAAAUGUAUUUAUGAUUGUAGGAAUGACAGCAGCAGCUUGAUCUACUGUCUUGCCGUAAAUUGCACCGGCUAUAUCAUUUUGUCCGAUAUCAAACAUGUACAGUCCAUUUUUAAAAUGAUCUUCCGACGGUAAGUUUUCGAGAGUUUUAUCUGAAAAAAUAUACUGGUACGAAUAAACUUACGUCUAUAAGAUAAUAUGAACCGGACAAGUUUAUAUAUAUGUUGAUGAAUUUUAGAUACCUUGUUGUAUUAAUUGAAGAACUUUGUAUUUGAAGGUGACGAAUUGAGCGACUUGAACACCAAAACCAAAAGGGCUAAAGGAUGCAGCAUUUGCCUUCUGAAUCGUUGAUCCACCAGCAGCAAAAUUGCAGCCUCUCAGGUAGCUUUGUGUGCUUACUGAAUCCAAAUAAGGUCUCAAGUAGGGUCGACCAAUUGCUUCCACUGCAUAGAAGACCCAAUUUUAAAGCACGUUGAAAACUUCUCGGAAGCCAUUAUUUUCAUUACAACAAAAAAAACUCUUAGCUUUGAUCUUAUAAACAGGAGUCAGUUAUUUCUUUUCAGUCUUUAAGUUUAUAGUUUAUAAAAAAAACUGAUUUUAAAUAAAUUAUUAACAUUAACAAAGAACACUAAAACUAGUCUUAUUUUUCUGUUAAGCGAAAGUGUUGCGGGUCUUAUGGUUCAUAUGAAUCCACAUAAAUCACACUGUGAGUCUGUGAAUAACAUGAGCUUGAAAGCUGCAUUGGAAAAAUCAAUUAAAAUUCUCUGGCAAAUAUUAAUUUACCACAGAAAAUAGUGCGAAGUCUAGAAAGUCAUGUUUUUAGUGGACUAGUUUGAUAUGGUGCAUGCAACGCGUUCAGUGAGAAAAAAAUGUUAUGCAGGAAACUAAUUAGCACAAAAAGAUAUUGCUAAGUCUAGAAAGUCAUGGCUUUAGUGGACUAAUUUGGUCUGGUGCAUAACCAUAACAAAACUGUCGUGGUACACAAUUUGUGAAAGUAUAUAAGAUCAACAAUCAUACGUAAAAAAGUUGUUUGUACAAAAAAUAAAGGAAAAGGAUAGGAUUUAGGAAUGAAGAACUACUUAGAAAAUCGACGAUGAGACGUCCGUCACAGAAUCUUCCAGUAGAUGGAGGUUUAAAGACGAAGGAUUGUCCAUUGGGAGGUGGGAGACGGAAACCAAGACCAGAGGUGAGUUCUCCGGUGUCGGAGUUAGAGUCUCCGAAGUUGAAAACUGCCGCAAAAUUAGGAGAAAUCGGAAAAGAACCGGCCAGAAGAGGCUGAGUAUGAGAGAUGGCUACAAAUGAUAACAAUAUGAAAAGGGAGUGAAAAACGGUUUCCAUUGCUUAGUAUAUUUUUCCUUUCCUUGGUCAAAUGCUUAGUAUACUUUCAUCUUCUCAUUAUUGCUUAUAUUUAUAUGCAAAUACAAAUAUAUACAUAUGCAUUUGUAUGUAUACAUAAGAAAUGUGUAUGUGUGCACAAUGUAUAGAUUAAUGAAAAUAGAAUGGAGUUUUUUUUAAAUAUGGAAAUAAAGAAUAUGAUCGUGUUCCUCCCGCGGUAACACUUUUUUAUUUUAUCUUUUUGGGGUUUUGCGGAAUUCACAUCCAUAUCGUUGUGUCAUUGUGUUAAUCAUCGAUAUAAUUCUGUCAUUUUGUCAAUCAUCGAUAUAAUUGUGUUAUUAUGUUAAUCAAAGACCAUGUUUUCGGUAGGUGAAGAUUGAAGAGUCGAACAAAAGUCAGAAAACGAGGCUUCAUUUUUGUUAAAAGUUGUUGCUUAACGACCUAUAAUUUCUUUUAUAAAUAGAUAAUAUUGUUACUCAAAAAUAACUUCAAACAAGUUUCAUAGAAUAAAGUGUUCUAUAAGUAUUUUGGCUUCAAAAUAUAGAUAUUUUCAUAUUUAUAUCUAUCAAUGUAAUUUUAUCUUUUUGAAUAUUGUAUAACCAAUUAUAAUCUGUUGGGUUUUUUUCUAUAAUAGGUCAAAUUAGAUUUAGUUUAUAUAGUAAAUGUUUUUUUGAAGAUUAAUAAUUAUUUUCGUCAACAUGCUUUUAAGUAAAACAAUAUAUAUUAUUAGACAUAAGAAACAAAAAAAUUAAAGAACAUACUAAAUAUAGAAUUUUAAGUAUAGUUAGGUUUGAAUGUGGAUGAAGAAUGUUGUAAAAUUUCUCUAUAAAAGUUGGUCAAAUUUCGUGAACCACCAAUUGUGUGUUGUACUCUAUCGUUCUUAUAAAUCUGAUUUAUCGUAAAUCUGAUGUGAGAUUACUGUGCAUGUGACUAUUAAACUCGUCAUGUGAUACUGACCUUUAUUCCAUCUUGAAAUUUAUCUGGAUUUUAGGAAUGAUACCAAAAGCUAGAUCUAGUGUCUUGUUGAAAAAUGCACAGGCAAGAUCAUUUUGUCCAACAUCAAACAUAAACAAUCCAAAUAAGGCCGGGUUGACCAAUUGCUUCCAUUACAUAAAAUGCUCAAUUUUAAGCACACUGUUUAAAGCACAACAGAAUCUCUCAUCUUUGAUCUUAUAAACAGAAGUUAGUUAUGUCUUUACAGAGUCUUUACGUUUAAUACUUCAUUGACCAAGUUAAUCAUAGUCUUCAAGGAAAAAAAAAGUUAUAUCUAGCUUUUCAUAACACUACUUGAUAUUCAUAUUCAGGUUGUAUAAAGUAAUUCACAUUUAUCAAUUUUAUUGAAAUAGAAUUCACAACUUCAUUUUAGACCAUUAUUUAGAAAUUUAUCAAAUGUACAUAACUUAAUUAUAAUAUCUUUUAAUAUUUUUAUUUCUGAAUUUAAAAUAAAAUAAAUAUUUAUUUAAGAAAAUUCUAACAAAAUCUUUUAAAAAUCUUUUCAGAAUCAUUUUAAAACUUAUUUCCAAAAAUUGAUUAAUUUAAAGUUUAGUUAUCAUAAAAUAUAAUCAGAAAUUUAAAUUUAAUUUAGUUUUGAUUUAUAAACGAAAAUUAAAAAUUAUAUAAAAUAUUUUAAUGAUAAUAACAACUUAAAUUAUUACUUUCCAAAAAAAAUUUUACAAAGAUUUCAAAAAUAUUUUGUUGGAAAGCGAUAUCCAUGUAAAUAUCUUAUUUAUUAAACACAUAAAUUAUGACUUAUUACACAUAUGAUUUUUUAAUUUAAACUAUCUCUUAAAGAUCACAACUUUAAAUGCUUCUAUCAUGUAACAUUACAAUUUAUGUCAAUAAUUUUUAACACAAGUCUAAUAAUCUUAUUAAUGGUUAAAUUUUAAUUUAUACAUUCCUUCAUAGAUGAAACAUUUAACCUCUUUACAUAUCAUAUAUAUAAAGUUUUAGUCAAUUAUUAUUAGCGUUUAUAUAUUCCAUUGAGUUAAGAAUGUCGGAUCAGGGAACAGGAUUUUGGGAAUUUUCAGGUUAAGGACAGGAUGAGAGUGACCAAGAAGGUUAGAGAGAGGUUUGGUCGGUUCUUUUAUCGGUUCCCGGAGGGUGAGUCAGCCGCAGAUGUCUUCGAUCGUGUCUCCAGUAUGUUUCCACUUCCCUGCUUGUUCCAAAUGUUCGAAAAAAAUCGUUAGGCGCUUUAUAGAAGAUUAUUGAUUAUACUUGCAAACGCCUAGACUGAUUUAAAAGAAAAAUGAUUUAAAAAAAAAAAAGGUUUAAGAAAAAUCAUUUUUAGUGUAGAUGCAUAUGGUUUGAGGAAUUUACUAUUAACUGUUAGGACAAUGAUUAGUUAUUACAUAAAACAUUUGCUGUUGUUUUGUUUUUUCUUUAGUAAGUGUUUCAAGAACUAAUGAUUUUGGUUUCUUAUGUGUUUCCCUCUUUACAGGUUUUCUUGAGUCUCUAUGGAGAGACAUCGACAUGAAUAGGCUGCACAUGAACCCGACGCAUGAGCUAAACUUUGUGAUCGUCUCACACGGGUUAACAUCGCGUGUGUUUCUUAUGAAAUGGUUCAAGUGGACCGUGGAACAGUUUGAGGCACUGAACAAUCCCGGGAACAGCGAGAUCAGGGUUAUGGAGUUAGGACAAGGAGGUGACUACAGCUUGGCGAUUCAUCACACGGAGGAAGAGUUAGAGAGAUGGGGUUUGUCACCUGAGAUGAUUGCAGAUCAGAAAUGGCGGGUUAACGCGCAUAAAGGCGAAUGGAAAGAAGAUUGUAAGUGGUACUUUGGUGAUUUUUUCGAUCAUAUGGCUGAUUCAGAUCAAG